AUGACCUCGACCGCCGCCGCCGCCGCCGCCGCCGCCAUUAACUCCGUCUCGUCAUAUGCUCUCUCCCCGCACGCCGCUCCCUUCAACCCCCCCUCCCGACCGGCUUGCGCCCCUUUCCAGUACCGCCCGAAUGGUGAUGUUUCUAGGUCGGCGGGUGCUAGCUCUGUGGGUUAUGCUGAAGAGAAGACAUCAAGAGAUACUCACUCAGCGUCACCAAUUGCAUGUGCCUUGAUGAAAUCAAGUGGUGCCGUUUAUCCACCCUCUACACAUGCCAUGCACACUGGGCAGCCAAGUUCAUGGUCAGCAGUUUGCCUGGAUGCGUAUCCCUCCUCACCAUAUGUCGGCAUAACAUCCAAUUACAAGCUGCAAAAUUCCUUGACCUCAGGAAAUGGGAGCAAAUGUUCAACAGUGAGGAUAGAAAGGCCACCAAAUAAAACAUCAGAAUCUAACAAAAACAGUUGUGGUUCUGGAAGCAAGUUGGUUAUAGCAGAAAAUCCUAAGUCUAAUAAAGACAGUGAAAAAGAAACAUCAUCCCGCAAUUUACAAUUCAGUGGUCCUGUCGAUGGCAAGGACAAUUCACAAGGUACCAUGUUCUCCUCCAAAGAGGCAAAUCCUGUCUUCAGUGCAAGCCCUCUUCAUAUUCCAACUACUUCUGCUGAUCCAUGUGGUGUUUUGGCCGAGGAUGUGAUGCCAGAUCCAUCAGAAUGCUCUGUUGAUUCACCGUGCUAUAGAGGUGCUUCAGCUUCUCGUCUGUCUCCAUUUGAUGUUUUCCAGACACCUGCUACCCAGUCAACUAAUCAAGAUUUGGAAGCUUUUGCUGUACGACAGAAACAAAGCUCUAGCACUGUUCAACAUCAUGAAACUCCGUCCGAGCUCCAGAGUUCGGUCACCAAGACUAACCACGACCACUGCAAAUCCCAGGCUGAAGCCGGUGUGUCAAAGAAAUCUGGGGUCACAAGUAUAAAGGAGACAAAAAAUUCAUGUGGGAAGGAGCUUGAAUGUGCAAACCAGUAUGCAGCAAAAUGUGAACUGGAGCAGAAACACCUUUCGAAACUGAGAGACAAUUAUGUGAAGCGAUCUGGUCUGAAUUAUGCUGCUCCGGAUUUUGUACCUUCAUCGAUUGGGAAAUCAAAAAUUGGGAAAGGACCCUGUUCUUCAACAGGAAAGAAUAUAUCGGGAGUUCUCAAGGCGAUCGAGAACCUAACUGUGGUAUUCCAGAGUAGUUAUUCUGGUGAUGAAAUUGAGCUAGAUGAAGAUGACUGCAUCCUCCUUGAAUCAGUGAUUGAUAGACUUCAGACUUGCCUUCAUAAAAUAAGAAAGGAUCCUAUUAAGGGUGCUUCUGACAAGGCAGGGCCAAAGGCUCCACAUUCGCAGACUGCAGUUUUAAAAUAUGACCCAGGAAAAUAUAAUCGUAGUUACAUUGCAGAUGGUGAAAAGGACAUAAUUAUUAAUCAUUUUGCUGGUUCUAGUCAUAUGCACAAUGAGUUUGGAAGAAACAGUUUGACACGGGGCCAGCCUGCACUCAACAAUGUCCAAAAGAAGAUGUCCUGUGAGGAAGAGCAUCCACAGGUUCUUGUGUAUAAGAAUCUGUGGAUUGAAGCGGAGCGUGCAAAUUGUGAAUUGAAGUACCAGCUGAAACACACUUGUAUAAAAAUAGACCUAGAGUCCAGCAUGGCUCCUAUUGGUGGGCCUGGGCCAAGAAAGAAUUAUUCCCAAGUCUCUGAUUUGAGUACCGAUCCAAGUAAUCUAUAUGGAGUUGCCUUAGCUCACCCUACUGGAGAGACAUCAGGAGCAAGAAACGGUCAAUAUCCUCCUUAUGCUGGUGACUGCACCCGGUCAGGAGGCGACGCCGCACUUAGCUGUUCUUCAAGCACCAAAGGGUACGCUGCUCUGCCGAAGAAUUUGCAGCAUGGCCAUGUCCUCACAGGCUUGGAAGAAACUGCCACGCAUCUCCAUGCGCCUCUGCCAUAUGGAGCUUGUCAAGGGUUGAAUGGAGACACUUUGGAUGGAGUGGCUGCCCGCUCAUACAUCACCGGACAAGAUGGCAUUUUGCGUAGCAAUUCAAAGUAUGGAUCGUCAGACUGGGAGCAUGUGCUAACUGAAGAAAUCGGCUGGAGUUGA
rnacentral:rRNA from 1 species